rnacentral:rRNA from 1 species
AGAAACCUUGGUGCCCUUUGCUCAGGUGGACCCACCUCGAACCAUCCCGAACUCGAGAGUGAAACGCUUGAGGGGUACAAUAACUCAGUGAAGGUUUGCUGGGAAAACUGUACCUGACGCCAGGGUG